rnacentral:lncRNA from 10 species
GUUUUAUCAUGCUGCCCAGGCUGAUCUCAAACUCCUGAGCUCAAGUGCUCCUCCUUCCUUGUCCUCCCUAACUGCUGGGAUUACAAGUGUGAGCCACUGUGCCCAGCCUGAUAUUUUGAAAUAAUGUGUAUGUUCCCAUACUGGUGGGCUGGCUUCUCUCCCUGCAGGUACCCCAUCUGCAACCAGAGUUGAGCUGUGAAACUGCAGUCAGAGAGGAGGGUAUGGCUUAGUGCAAAUGUGGAAGUCUCAGUCAUACAGAAGAAAAUGAAAAGCCUGUUCUUUCCUCUUCACAGGAUUGUGAGAAGCAGGGAUCUUGAGUAGGUCUCAAAUGCCCUAUUGGAGGUCAGGCUCUGGAGAUUCCAAGAUGACCACACAAUCCCUCCUCCGUGGAAUUCACAGUUCUGAGACAAGACAGAGACCAAGCAGCUCCAAGCCGGCCCCUCUGUUUAUAAAACCAAGUUCCGGGCCAAGUGUGGUGGCUCACGCCCGUAAUCCCAGCACUUUGGGAGGCCGAGGUGGCCGGAUUACCUGAGGUCACAUGUUCAAGAUCAUCCUGGGCAAUGUGGUGAAACCCCAUCUCUACUAAAAAUACAAAAAUUAGCUGGGCGCGGUGGUGCAUGCCUCUGAUGCCAGCUACUCGGGAGUCUGAGGCAGGAGAAUCGCUUGAACCCGGGAAGUGGAGGUUGCAGUGAGCUGAGAUGGCGCCACUGCACUCCAGCCUAAGAGACAGAGCGAGACUCCAUCUCAAAAAAAAAAAAAUUAAUUAAUUAAAAAAAUAAAAUAAAACCAAGCUCCUCUGCUCAGCUUGUCAGAGCACUCAUCUGUCUUAUGAAAUAAGUGUUGCCUGAUUCUGGAAUCACAAAUAAAAGCCAAUUAAGAUCUUUAAACUA